UCAAUGUCACGUUUGAGCCAUAAAUAUUUGUACGAAGUCACAGCUGUUAAAUGAUGUCACAGUAGCACAUUAGCAUUAUGCAACACUGCAGAGCUGAGGGUCACCAAACAGUUUUGAGACUUUACAUUUACAGCACAACCUUUUGGCCACUUGGAGCCAUUUCAUACUAUUUUCUCCUCCUGAUUCAUCCAUGAAUAACACAGAAGUGCAUUUAGUAUCUGCACCUGAGCUAAUCACAUUCACUAGUCUUGCUUUAAAAUCAGCGGAGAAAAACAGAAACUUUAGGGUCAUCGUUCAUCUAAUUUUAAAAUAUCAUGGCUUUCAUGAUUCUUUCUUUUACUUUCUACCUACGUACUCUAUUCAACUGAAUGAUCCAUGGUCUUUCAUAGUGGAUAAACACACAAAGGUCACAGACUCUGGCUCCACACCUGGCUGAACUGAUCAGCAGAAAUGCAGCUGGACUGUGGAAACCAAUUCUGUUAAAUUCAGCAGGUGUCCCCCAAAGUGAAGAAUGAAACUAAGUCUCUUUGAGAAGACAGAUGGAUCUAAGAGCAGCCUUGCUAAGAAUAUGCCUUUUAUUCUAAAAUAUUUCUAUAUUUUUAAUUCAUGUUUCUGACAGCUCAUGGAAUCCAGUAGGAAAACAGAAACGGCUUUUACCAAAAGGAAAAGCUUUGUUUUAGAAGGUAUUAGUCAUUUCCUAAAUAUUGCUACAUAUUUCUUCAAGAUCUUUCAACAAGCUACGUGGACUUCUGAGAGUCUCGUACACUGUUUAAAUUUCUUCUUCAGUCUGCUUAAAUGCAGAUAAAAUAAGAAGAGAAUAAGAAAUCAUUAUUGUCAGUGCUACUUGGAUCAUAGUCAGCUACUUACAGUUACGACAAGCACCUUUUCAUCUUUUUAGUAAACAAGGAGUCUUAAACUGAGACUCUCCAUACCCUGAUGUGUAACGUUAAUGACAGGACAACAGCUUGCACUGAAGGCUGGUGGAAUCUGCAAACUCGAAGAAAAAAUGUAGCCUGCAGUGCUAAAGAGUUCGCAACAAAUGUAGACUGUAUGCUAGUGAUCUGCCAUAAACAUAUUUUAGUGCUGGAAGUACUGUGACCGUGUUAUUGUCAUACUAGGCUACAUCUACAAAAGGACUUGCACACUGAGAACGGACACUGUAGCUUUGCUAUCUUUCUCUUAAGCCUUGCUGGAAUGCCACCUACAUCUACAGGCAACUGAAGACCCUUUAUUCCCUGUCCAAUAAUCUUCAUAACAGAGGUCCUGAUGUUACUACACUGCUUUGUGCCUAUGCUGUCGUAAGGCUGUUAAAUGGCUGGUCUCACCAGGGACUCCAGGUGUGGUCAACUCUCUUCUAUGUGU